rnacentral:piRNA from 1 species
UCAUGUUUUGAUAUAUUUUGA